GCUGGCGGCACUAGCGCGGUGGUCCCACCUGACCCCAUGCCGAACUCAGAAGUGAAACGCCGUAGCGCCGAUGGUAGUGUGGGGUCUCCCCAUGCGAGAGUAGGGAACUGCCAGGC
rnacentral:rRNA from 3 species